rnacentral:rRNA from 1 species
AUUGAACGCUGGCGGCAGGCCUAACACAUGCAAGUCGAGCGGUAGAGAGGAGCUUGCUUCUCUUGUGAGCGGCGGACGGGUGAGUGAUGCCUAGGAAUCUGCCUGGUAGUGGGGGAUAACGUUCGGAAACGGACGCUAAUACCGCAUACGUCCUACGGGAGAAAGUGGGGGAUCUUCGGACCUCACGCUAUCAGAUGAGCCUAGGUCGCAUUAGCUAGUUGGGGAGGUAAAGGCUCACCAAGGCGACGAUCCGUAACUGGUCUGAGAGGAUCAUCAGUCACAAGGGAACUGAGACACGGUCCAGACUCCUACGGGAGGCAGCAGUGGGGAAUAUUGGACAAUGGGCGCAAGCCUGAUCCAGCCAUGCCGCGUGUGUGAAGAAGGUCUUCGGAUUGUAAAGCACUUUAAGUUGGGAGGAAGGUCAGUAGCUUAAUACGUUGCUGAUUUGACGUUACCGACAGAAUAAGCACCGGCUAACUCUGUGCCAGCCGCCGCAGUAACAC